GAUGAACGCUGGCGGCGUGCCUAAUACAUGCAAGUCGAGCGAACGGACGAGAAGCUUGCUUCUCUGAUGUUAGCGGCGGACGGGUGAGUAACACGUGGAUAACCUACCUAUAAGACUGGGAUAACUUCGGGAAACCGGAGCUAAUACCGGAUAGUAUUUUGAACCGCAUGGUUCAAAAGUGAAAGACGGUCUUGCUGUCACUUAUAGAUGGAUCCGCGCUGCAUUAGCUAGUUGGUAAGGUAACGGCUUACCAAGGCAACGAUGCAUAGCCGACCUGAGAGGGUGAUCGGCCACACUGGAACUGAGACACGGUCCAGACUCCUACGGGAGGCAGCAGUAGGGAAUCUUCCGCAAAGGGCGAAAGCCUGACGGAGCAACGCCGCGUGAGUGAUGAAGGUCUUCGGAUCGUAAAACUCUGUUAUUAGGGAAGAACAUAUGUGUAAGUAACUGUGCACAUCUUGACGGUACCUAAUCAGAAAGCCACGGCUAACUACGUG
rnacentral:rRNA from 1 species